GAUGAACGCUGGCGGCGUGCCUAAUACAUGCAAGUCGAGCGAACAGACGAGGAGCUUGCUCCACUGACGUUAGCGGCGGACGGGUGAGUAACACGUGGAUAACCUACCUAUAAGACUGGGAUAACUUCGGGAAACCGGAGCUAAUACCGGAUAAUAUAUUGAACCGCAUGGUUCAAUAGUGAAAGACGGUUUUGCUGUCACUUAUAGAUGGAUCCGCGCCGCAUUAGCUAGUUGGUAAGGUAACGGCUUACCAAGGCAACGAUGCGUAGCCGACCUGAGAGGGUGAUCGGCCACACUGGAACUGGAACACGAUCCAGGCUCCUACGUGAGGCAGCGGUAGGGAAGCGUCGGCAAUGGGCGAAAGCCUGACGGAGCGACGCCGCGUGAGUGAUGAAGGUCUUCGUAUCGUAAAACGCUGUUAUUGUGGAAGAACAAAUGUGUAAGUAACGAUGCACGUCUUGACGGUACCUAGUCAGAAAGCCACGGCUAACUACGUG
rnacentral:rRNA from 1 species